GUAUUUGUAGUAUUUUAAUUAUAAGAUAUAACUGCUUAUUAAAUAAAUCUACACAAAAUCUUCUAUUUUCUGUUAUAUAAAUAAAAUGUAUAGCGUAGUCUAGAUAGAAUAGAAUCCUGUGUCUACGUCCCAAAUAAAUUCUCCUAAGCUUAAACUAAGACUUCUUGCAAAGCUUUCUGGAUAUGUAUAUUUAUUACGAUUAUCAGACAUUAACAGCGUAGUAGAAUUAUUUUAAAACCUUAUGUUUG
rnacentral:lncRNA from 1 species